UACGUAGGGUGCAAGCGUUAAUCGGAAUUACUGGGCGGAAAGCGUGCGCAGGCGGUUUUGUAAGACUGUCGUGAAAUCCCCGGGCUCAACCUGGGAAUGGCGAUGGUGACUGCAAGGCUAGAGUUUGGCAGAGGGGGGUAGAAUUCCACGUGUAGCAGUGAAAUGCGUAGAUAUCAGGAGGAAUACCGAUGGCGAAGGCAGGUCUCUGGGCUGACACUGACGCUCAUGCACGAAAGCGUGGGGAGCAAACAGG
rnacentral:rRNA from 1 species